GUCUGACCCUGAGAUCCUGGGCCAGCUUGUAUGUCUGUCCCUUUGAUUCUGAGACAGCCUGUCUUUCCUAUGGACUCUGGCUCUGCUCUUCUGCCUGUCCUGGAUCCUGGGUCUGUCUGUAUUGAGUCUUCCAGUCCUCUGGAAGCCCUGUCCACCUGCUGGUUGGCUGCUCAGCUUGUGGCACUGCAUGACCGCCAGCCCUCCUGCGUCCUCCACUGCCUGCUCCUCCUCUCCCUGACUCUGGGUCCCUCUCUGUCUGUCUGCGUCUCUCACAUCCUCAGCUCCUCCAUCUGUCAGGCUGCUCAGCGUUUCCGAGUGCGUGUUCUCACCGCCCCCCCCCACUCCCCCUCAUAGCUUUGGGCCAAACCACAGCAGUUUCCAGCGGCUCUCCCGCUCCACUCCAUCCAGGAACCAGCUUCUCCAGGGGUGGCCACAGACCCCUGUGGGCUGCUCAGGGUGGGCUGGGGAGGCAGUAAGCCACCCAAGGCCAAGCCCUCAUUAUUCCGGGUGUGAAGGGGUUCAUAAUAAUGAUAAGAGCACUCAUUUAUUAAGUGCUGAAAGUAUGAUUGGCCAUGCUGAUCCUUUUUGUGUGUAUCAAUGUAUCAGUUCCUCUCCACAGAACUUCAGGGUAUUACUAUUGUAUUUGUUUUACACAGGAGGAAACCAAGACCCAGAAAGGGACUGGAACUUAUCUUAAAGUUACACAGCAGGGAAACUGAGGCCCAGAGAUGUGGAAACCCCAGCCCAAGAUCACUUACAAACCAAGAUAAAAAUUCUGCAGGGUUCUGGGACAGACUUUCUCUUUCCUGACCAUUCCAACAGACCUGGCCGAGCUGCAGGAGGUGGAUGAAGGUCUGCAGUAGCCAGACGCAGAGGCGACAGCAGCGGCGACGUCGUAAACGAACCAGCGGAAGCUGAGCAGCUGCACUACCAGAGAGGGCAGGAGCACGAAGAGCAACGUGAGGCCGAAGACGGUG